UACGGAGGUGGCAAUCGUUACUCGGAUUUACUGGGUGUAAAGGGCACGUAGGCGGUCCGUUAAGCCCUACCUAAAAUGCACUGGCUCAACCAGGGCAUGUGGCAGGGGACUGGCGGACUGGAGGACAGGAGAGGCGAGCGGAAUUCCCGGUGUAAGGGUGAAAUCUGUAGAUAUCGGGAGGAACACCAGUGGCGAAAGCGGCUCGCUGGCCUGUUUCUGACGCUGAGGUGCGAAAGCUAGGGGAGAAAACAGG
rnacentral:rRNA from 1 species